rnacentral:rRNA from 1 species
UACAGAGGGGGCAAGCGUUGUUCGGAAUUACUGGGCGUAAAGGGCGCGUAGGCGGCCUGUUAAGUCGAACGUGAAAUCCCCGGGCUCAACCCGGGAACUGCGUCCGAUACUGGCAGGCUUGAAUCCGGGAGAGGGAUGCGGAAUUCCAGGUGUAGCGGUGAAAUGCGUAGAUAUCUGGAGGAACACCGGUGGCGAAGGCGGCAUCCUGGACCGGUAUUGACGCUGAGGCGCGAAAGCUAGGGGAGCAAACGGG